rnacentral:rRNA from 1 species
UACGUAGGGCGCAAGCGUUAUCCGGAAUUAUUGGGCGUAAAGAGCUCGUAGGCGGUUUGUCGCGUCUGCCGUGAAAGUCCGGGGCUCAACUCCGGAUCUGCGGUGGGUACGGGCAGACUAGAGUGAUGUAGGGGAGACUGGAAUUCCUGGUGUAGGCGGUGAAAUGCGCAGAUAUCAGGAGGAACACCGAUGGCGAAGGCAGGUCUCUGGGCAUUAACUGACGCUGAGGAGCGAAAGCAUGGGGAGCGAACAGG